AGAGUUUGAUCCUGGCUCAGGAUGAACGCUAGCUACCGGCUUAACACAUGCAAGUCCAGGGGCAUCAGGAAGAAAGCUUGCUUUCUUUGCUGGCGACCGGCGCACGGGUGAGUAACACGUAUCCAACCUGCCCUUUACUCGGGGAUAGCCUUUCGAAAGAAAGAUUAAUACCCGAUGGCAUAAUGAUUCCGCAUGGUUUCAUUAUUAAAGGAUUCCGGUAAAGGAUGGGGAUGCGUUCCAUUAGGUUGUUGGUGAGGUAACGGCCCACCAAGCCUUCGAUGGAUAGGGGUUCUGAGAGGAAGGUCCCCCACAUUGGAACUGAGACACGGUCCAAACUCCUACGGGAGGCAGCAGUGAGGAAUAUUGGUCAAUGGGCGCUAGCCUGAACCAGCCAAGUAGCGUGAAGGAUGAAGGCUCUAUGGGUCGUAAACUUCUUUUAUAUAAGAAUAAAGUGCAGUAUGUAUACUGUUUUGUAUGUAUUAUAUGAAUAAGGAUCGGCUAACUCCGUGCCAGCAGCCGCGGUAAUACGGAGGAUCCGAGCGUUAUCCGGAUUUAUUGGGUUUAAAGGGAGCGUAGGUGGACUGGUAAGUCAGUUGUGAAAGUUUGCGGCUCAACCGUAAAAUUGCAGUUGAUACUGUCAGUCUUGAGUACAGUAGAGGUGGGCGGAAUUCGUGGUGUAGCGGUGAAAUGCUUAGAUAUCACGAAGAACUCCGAUUGCGAAGGCAGCUCACUGGACUGCAACUGACACUGAUGCUCGAAAGUGUGGGUAUCAAACAGGAUUAGAUACCCUGGUAGUCCACACAGUAAACGAUGAAUACUCGCUGUUUGCGAUAUACAGUAAGCGGCCAAGCGAAAGCAUUAAGUAUUCCACCUGGGGAGUACGCCGGCAACGGUGAAACUCAAAGGAAUUGACGGGGGCCCGCACAAGCGGAGGAACAUGUGGUUUAAUUCGAUGAUACGCGAGGAACCUUACCCGGGCUUAAAUUGCAGUGGAAUGAUGUGGAAACAUGUCAGUGAGCAAUCACCGCUGUGAAGGUGCUGCAUGGUUGUCGUCAGCUCGUGCCGUGAGGUGUCGGCUUAAGUGCCAUAACGAGCGCAACCCUUAUCUUUAGUUACUAACAGGUCAUGCUGAGGACUCUGGAGAGACUGCCGUCGUAAGAUGUGAGGAAGGUGGGGAUGACGUCAAAUCAGCACGGCCCUUACGUCCGGGGCUACACACGUGUUACAAUGGGGGGUACAGAAGGCAGCUAGCGGGUGACCGUAUGCUAAUCCCAAAAGCCUCUCUCAGUUCGGAUCGAAGUCUGCAACCCGACUUCGUGAAGCUGGAUUCGCUAGUAAUCGCGCAUCAGCCACGGCGCGGUGAAUACGUUCCCGGGCCUUGUACACACCGCCCGUCAAGCCAUGGGAGCCGGGGGUACCUGAAGUACGUAACCGCAAGGAUCGUCCUAGGGUAAAACUGGUGACUGGGGCUAAGUCGUAACAAGGUAGCC
rnacentral:rRNA from 1 species